ACUUCCUGCAGAAAUCCUCCAGCCCUGUUAGAAAUGCCUCAGCCAAGGGGACUCAUCUCCUCAAACCUGGGGGACCAAGGCCUACGAGAGGUCACAGCAUGAGCCAGGACAUUCAGAGGUACCCAGACAUUGUUAUGAAACUCCGCAUGUGUCCCUGGUGAACGCUGCUGGACCCAGCAUGCACACUUCUCUGCUAAGAGUCACCCUGGAUGAACCACCAUUGCCAGCGGGGAGCAUGUUGCAGCUUUCCCACGCAGUGGAUGAGAACCAAGGUUACGACCAUUGUGUAGGAGGCGUCUGUGUAGCAAUUGCUGGAAUCACUAAUGCAAAGGACAAAGCAAGCAAACAAAAGAACUUCCGGAAGAAUCACAGAGUUUUAGACCUAGAAAAAAACUGAAAAGUCAUCCAUUCCAUUCUCCUCAUUUUACAGAUGAGGGCGUCGAGCCUCAGAGAAAUGAAACUUGCCCAAGACCACCCAGCAAGUGAGUGGGGGACUCAUGACCCAAGACACUUUUUCCAGGCUUCCUUCUACCACAUCACGCUGCAGAAAACACAGCAGAUGGGCAGAGACGAGGCAUGUGGUUGCCAUUUCUGUAUUACAUCCAAUUCAUAUUUCAUUUAGAAAAUGUAUU
rnacentral:lncRNA from 1 species